GAUGAAGAACGUAGCGAAAUGCGAUAAGUAAUGUGAAUUGCAGAAUUCAGUGAAUCAUCGAAUCUUUGAACGCACAUUGCGCCCGCCAGAAUUCUGGCGGGCAUGCCUGUUCGAGCGUCAUUUCAACCAUCAAGCCCCCGGCUUGUGUUGGGGACCUGCGGCUGCCGCAGGCCCUGAAAACCAGUGGCGGGCUCGCUAGUCACUCCGAGCGUAGUAAUACAUCUCGCUCAGGGCGUGCUGCGGGUUCCGGCCGUUAAAAAAGCCUUAUUUACCCAAGGUUGACCUCGGAUCAGGUAGGAAGACCCGCUGAACUUAAGCAUAUCAAUAAGCGGAGGA
rnacentral:misc_RNA from 1 species